CUGAAGUGAGUCUUCAUCAUUGAAGCUUCUUCCCAUUGUGCUGGCUUUGACCGUAUGUUAUGUUGGGGAUUAAACAUGGUUGGAAUUUAUUUCAGCCGUCCCCAACAAUUAUCUCAUCCUUUAUUAAAUUGAACUGAACUCAUUUUGAGAUUACAUAAAAAAUAA
rnacentral:misc_RNA from 1 species